GGGCGAUUAGCUCAGUCGGUUAGAGCGCUUCUCUGAUAAGGAAGAGGUCGCUGGUUCGAAUCCAGCAUCGCCCA
rnacentral:tRNA from 2 species